ensembl:lncRNA
GUCCAAGCAGUGGGUUCAGUACCUUCUCAGCAGUGGACCCUCUUCCUGUGAAGCCAGAGCCGUAUGCACCAUCCUGAUCCUGAGGCCCACGGAGCUGUGAGAACCACACUGCCCAGAGGACCCUGCACCAAGCGACGUCAGCGUGGAGCCAAUGAAGGUCCAGGAGACGGGCGUUUCCACGUGUGCCAACUCCUCAGGGUGGAACUUGCGGGGUCCUGGUGGCAGUCAUUUUGGCAGCUCUCGAAUCCAUUUCCUGGUCAGAGGCUCCAGAGUGCUGGGUCGAGACGAGGUGAAGAUUGCAGCGGCCCGAGAGGAGGUGUCCCCACUGCUCAGAGGAGGGUCUGAGACGCCGGACCGCUCCCAGCCCUGCUCUGCCCACAGAGUCCGAUGGCGGCGGCCGCGCCCAGGGACUCAGCUCAGGUAAAUGCACAGCCGCUGGGCCUGAGCUCAGGGCACCCGCUGGCUUCCCUGCGGUCCAGACCCCGGGGUCCCAGACAGGGAGGCGCUCGUGGGCGGGGGCCACGUGUCUGAGCACCCACUUGCAAGCUCCAAACCGAGGUGUGAGUUUUGUGCGUGCAGUAAGCAGAAUAUGAGGCAGAGUCAUGCCUAGACUUACAGGCCAGGGGUGGGAGUGGGGGGUCAGAGGAGCAGUGGAGACCAGAUCUCGUUGAGCCCUACCCUCUACAGAUGAAGCCCUUUUAGAACCUAUCGAAGUAAGAGGAGGGUGUUCAGGACCCUGGAGAGACAUUAAACUAGAGGUUAUGUGGGGGGAGGCCUUCUCCAUUCUAGCGGUAAGAUGAGGUUGUCCUGGGGCACAGCUACCUGUUUGGCGGAGCGGUGAGUAUUCAGAGAAAUGCAAAUGUUCUUUUGUUCUGAUGGUCUGGAUCUUCUCUUACCCAUGCUUCGUAGCUGCAGAAAACAUACCGGGAAGGUUAGCGGGGAGGCUACGUAGAUGUAAAUUGUGGCCAUGGAGGUAAGGGGAGUUGUUGGAUUUUAACUUCCUUCUUCAGGUAGAACCAAUCUGAUUUUCUACUGUGGAGAGUGAGUUAGAAUAAAGCCCUAGGGGCCACCCCUGUCUCUUUGUCUCAGAAAGCUUUGAGUGCAGGCACGAAGUGGGCAGCUGGAUAUAAAGUCUAAAAAUUUGAGGUGGUUCAACAUUAGAUGUGUAGGUGACGCUUUGUGUUGCAUUUAGGAAGGGAAAUUCUGAUUAUGGCGAUAACAUUAUUAAGAGGCCAGGAAUUUGGGCACUGAGUUCGAACCUGUUUCUUGGAGCAAGUGGCCUCUCAAACACGGGUCAGGGACAGAAGACUUUCAGUGGAAGAGUGGACAUGAGCAGGCUGCUGCUUAUUUGUGGCAAGCUCUCAUGGAGCCUGGUGGGUGAGCUCAGGGGCAAAGAUCAUUAAUUCCCAGUAUUUGGAUAUAGGGUCUUUAAAGACCUUAUAAAGUGAGGCUCUAAAUCCAAUAUGAUUAGUAGUAUCCUUGAAAGAAGAGGAAAUUGGAACACAUACAAUGAAAGGCAGGUCUUCAUAGUGGAUUUGAGGUUGCCCUGGAAAGUGGGGUCCAUCUUGCCAAGCACUCUUGAUGCUGUGGGCUCAGUACUAGGGAGAGGCACUUACGGGGUAAAAGAGGUGUGUGAACUGAGGGACCCCCCCCCCCCCCCCCCCAGGCCUUCAGUAUCAGGGACUUAGGUGGGAGGGUGGAGUCUAUCUUUGGUUGUACCUGGCCGGUACACUGUGGAGGAUUUCAGGGACAUUGCCUGGUUGGGGGCUGGAGAGGCCAU